rnacentral:lncRNA from 1 species
AACAGGGGUAUAUAUCAUCUAAAAUGGAGUAAGUAAUUAGGAUAGAAAGACGGUGGAAAUAAUUUGGUCAAAACCAUUGUUUGCUGGGCCUAUAAAUGGCAAGAACUCCAUCUCCAUCUAUGUAUGUAUCUAGGGUUCGGGAAGCGCAGCCGAAAAAAUGUAGAAAAGCCAUAUCUGAUUUUAUAAUCUAGGUUUAGUUCUUUCAUCUCCUUAGCCAUCUUCUUAUUACUUUCUUCUAUAUCAUGUAAGGGCUGGAUGCAAAUAGGGGAGAGCUUUAUAUACGAUGGCUCUGAAAAACCUGCAGGUACUCUGUAGGGUGCCUUGUCAUUUCUUAGCCCUAUACAUUAAAUUUUAAGAAGGUAUCAUAGUAUGGAUUUCGUGCUUGAAAGUUGGUUUGUAUUUGAUUGUGAUGUUCAGCGCUUUGUUAAAUUUCCUUUCGCCUACAAUCCCCUUUCAACUCGUCACAAAUUCGCCUCCAAGCGACAUUAAAUUUCUUUUGUUUGCUUAUUAUUAUCUUUCUAUUCUUUAUGUCCUUGUUUACAACAAGUAUAUUUUGAAAAGAGUGAUUUUUGAUUAAUAGUUUCAUAUUUUGUAAUUAUACUUUAGUGUUGGUAAUGAAAAAAGCUUGGCAUGGGGUGCCUAUGCUUACAAGUGCACAUUGAAAGAACCAUAUGGCCGUUGGUAUUCAGCAGAUUGAAACUAGUUGAUGAAUGGAUAUUAUAAUCAAUAAAAUACGGUAAUCAGGUUUUUGUAUUUUAAUAUCUUAAAAAAAUGAUCUUAAAAUACAAAAAUAAGUGUUUUUUGUUGUUGCAAAAACAGGGGAAUAUAUAAUCUAAAAUGGAGUAAGAAAUUAGGAUAGAAACACGGUGGAAAUAAUUUGCUCAAAACCAUUGUUUGCUGGUCCUAUAAAUGGCAAGAACUCCAUCUCCAUUUGCAUCUAUGUAUGUAUCUAGGGUUUAGGAAGCGCAGCCGAAAAAAUGUAGAAAAGCCAUAUCCGAUUAUAUAAUCUAGGUUUAGUUCUUCUAUCUCCUUAACCAUCUUCUUAUUACUUUCAUAGGGCUGGAUGCAAAUAGGGGAGAACUUUACAUACUGUGGCUCUAAAAACCUGCAGGUACUCUGUAGGAUCCUUGUCAUUCCUUUGCCCUAUACAUUAAAUUUGAAGAUGGUAUCAUAGUACGGAUUUCGUGCUUGAAAGUUGGUUUGUAUUUGGUUGUGAUGUUUGGCGCUUUGCCAAAUUUCUUUUCGCCUACAAUCCCCUUUCAAUUCGUCACAAUCGCCAUUACAUUUCUUUCGUUUGCUUAUUAUUAUCUUUCUAUUCUUUGUGUCCUUGUUUACAACAAUUAUUUUUUGAAAAGAGUGAUUUUUGAUUAAUGGUUUCAUAUUUUGAAAUUAUACUUUAGUGUUGGUAUUGAAAAAAGCUUAGCAUGGGGUUCCUAUGCUUACAAAUGCACAUUGAAAGAACCAUAUGGCCGUUGGUAUUCAGCAUAUUGAAACUUGUUGAUGAAUGGAUAUUAUAAUCAAUAAAAUCCGGUAAUCAGAUUUUUUUAUUUUAAGAUCUUAAAAAAUGAUCAUAAAAUACAAAAAUAAGUGUUUUGUUUGUUAUUGCAAAAACAGGGGAAUAUAUCAUCCAAAAUGGAGUAAGAAAGUAGGAUAGAAAGACGUUGGAAAUAAUUUGGUCAAAACCAUUGUUUUGUUGGGCCUAUAAAUGGCAAGAACUCCAUCUCCAUCUGCAUCUGUGUAUGUAUCUAGGGUUCGGAAAGCACAGCCGAAAAAACGUAGAAAAUCCAUAUCCGAUUAUAUAAUCUAGGUUUGGAUUCUUCUAUCUCCUUAACCAUCUUCUUAUUACUUUCUUCUAUAUCAUGCAAGGGCUGGAUGCAAAUAGGGAAGAGCUUUAUAUACGAUGGCUCUGAAAAACCUGCAGGUACUCUGUAGGGUGCCUUGUCAUUCCUUAGCCCUAUACAUUAAAUUUUAAGAUGGUAUCAUAGUACGGAUUUCGUGCUUGAGAGUUGGUUUGUAUUUGAUUGUGAUGUUCGGCGCUUUGCCAAAUUUCUUUUCGCCUACAAUCCCCUUUCAAUUCGUCACAAAUUCGCCUCCAAAUGCCAUUACAUUUCUUUCGUUUGCUUAUUAUUAUCUUUCGAUUCAUUAUGUCCUUGUUUACAACAAGUAUUUUUUGAAAAGAGUGAUUUUUGAUUCAUG